GUCUACACUUGUUUUUAAUUUCUGAUGCUUGGAUGAUUAUUCUUACUUCAUGAAAGUUGCUCGAAAUUGUGUUGUUUAUAACAUAUCUAUAAUUUAGGAUCAUCCAACCAUUGUAGUAUUCUCUGCCUUUAUUUUUCUGAAGCAUGUUCAUCAAUUGAUGUUGAUUCCUUUGUUGCAUGCUUGUUUUCUAUGCUUGAAUGCUUGAGUAACUCUGUAUUUCCCAAAAUUUGUGAGCUAGACAUUGAAUCCUGAGGUUGAACUUCUGAUUUAGGGUUUUAACUUGGUGAUAGACAAAGCUCACACAAGCUUACUUAAGUAAUGCAUUCUAAGUGUUUGUGAGAAUAUCUCAAAGUAUCUUGUGGGAUGUUCUCUGAACUUUCGAAAUAUUUCCUUUGAAUAUGAACUAGAGCUUUCGACACAUAAAAGUAGACUUCUCGAUGGGUACGUUGGAACUAGUCUUGUGCCAUUUGAAGCAAAAAUGAAUUUUUGGUGUAAUUUCAAAGUAAGGGUUUAAGCUGCUGGAAUUGUCCAGUUUUUGCUGCAUGACUUGUUUCGGGAAUAUGUUUGGCUUGCUUCCCUAGCUCUAAAUGCAACGAAAUUUGGAAAAAUGAAGCUUGAUAUGUCUAAUUAUAACUUGGAAAGUUUGAGAUUUUUUGGUUGUAAACCUAAUUUCUAGUGAUUUUCUAAAGGUGGGAUGUUCUAGCUAGAAUGGUUAGAAAGCUUCAGCUUGCCCAACUUCAUAGCUUGGGGCAAUCAAAUAUACUUCUAGGCUUUGGUAAGGAAUUCAAAGAUGAUCCACUAACCCAAACUUCAUGCUAAGAAAUUACACUUUAUUCAAGCAAUCCAAGCAAUUCAGGCAUUUCAAGCAAAUUGAGCCGUAUUGGAAAACUCAUGCUCUCGCGACAAUAUCACUCAAAAUCACGCUAUCACAACGAUAUUGCUCAAGAUCAUGCUCUAGCAAUACCCAUAGCAAUACCAAGAUCAGGCACUCAAUGCCAAGAGAAAUGAAAUGCUCAAUUCUCAAUAGUCAAAGCAACAUGCCAAGCAAAAACAAACACAAGCUUUCCAACCAUUUUAGCUGGAACAUCCCACCUUUGAAAAAUCACUAAAAAUCAAGUUUACAACCAACAAAACCCAAACUUUCCAGAUUAGAACUAGACAUAUCAAGCUUCAUUUUCCCAAAAUUGCAUCGCAUUUAGAGUUAGGGAAGUAUGUCAAACAGAUUCCCGAAACAUGCCAUGCAGCAGAAAGUGCACAAUUCCAGCAGCUUAGCCCUUACUUUGAAUUUGCACCAAAAAUUUAUUUUUGCUUCAAAUGAUACAAAACCAUUUCCAACACAACCAUCGGGAAGUUUAGUUUCAUGUGUCAAAAGCUCCAACUCAUAAUCAAAGAUAAAUAUUUCGAAAGUAAAAAGAACAGCCCACAAUCUAUUUUGACAAACACUUGGCAUGCAUUACCCAAGUGAGUUUGUAUGAGCUUUGUUUAUUACCAAGCUAAAACCCUAAAUUAGAAGCUCAACCUCAAAAUUCAGUUCAUAAGCCACAAUUGUUGAGAGUACAAAGUAAUUCAAGCAUGCAGCAAAGGCCUCAACAUCAAUCCAUGAACACACUUUAGAAAAAUGAAGGUAGAGAACACUACAGUGGUUGGAUGAUCCUCAAAUUCACAAUUUCAAGCAGAUUUCGUGAAGCAAGUACAAUAAUCCGAGUAGUAGAUAUUAAAAACAAGUGCAGAAACUGAAUCUGCAGAAACUCAUCAGCCAUGGAUGAACACAGAAGUUGCAGAUCAAGUUUGAGGUAUCCAAAAAAUUCAAAAAAUUCUCAAAUUUUUAAAGGCUAUAUUACUCGAGUAGGUGAACAACUUUCAUCAAGGAAGUUUUCUGAUCCGAGCUUCCAAAAUAUGACUUAUGUACUGAUGAACAGUACCCAGGGUUUAUGUUGGGUUCAUUUUUAUACAUGAUUUAUCAUGUCAUUCACCCAAUAUUUUGAGUCAACUUCUUAACCAUUGAUGAUCAUCUUCCGGUGCUCAGAUGCAGUAAAGCUCUUCAUGAAACUUGUGCCAAUGGAUGUUAUUACAACAUAUCCGAAUUUGAGCUCCAUUAAACAAGUAUAGCCUAUCCAACCGAUCCAAUAUUUGACCCUAGAGAAAUUUGUUUUGUGCCAGUUUUACGUCCACUUGAUGUCAUCUUAUUCUACUUAUUACCAUAUCUUUUGGUAACAAUAACCUACCUUGAUGAAGUGGGAUUUGCUAAGAAUGAUGAAGUGGGAUUUGCUAAGACAAAAGGAAGCCUUUUAAUGAAUUUUAAAACCAAAUCUCAUCAUGACAUGAAGGAAAGAAUGAGUUUAAUAAUGUUGUGUGAGAUGGAAAGGAAGAGAGAGAAGGAGCAAAGGGAAGGAGCAUCAGCUCAUUCAUUGAAUGAUUGGAGUCAUUUUCUCUACACUUGCAAUUUCUGAGAUUGGAGAGAGGGAGGAGAGCAAAGGUGCAGCCAAGCAUGAAAGAGGCUACCAAAGAGGAGAAGAAGUCGCUCCACCAUUGAAGACCUUGUGCUUCCAUCACCUUCACAAAAUCUGUAACUUCUUUCUAGUUUUAUUUGAAGUUAUGUUUACCAUGAACA